rnacentral:lncRNA from 1 species
GUCUUGUAUCCACCCCUGGUUCAUAGCGUCGCACCAAAGUAUUUGGCGUCAGGCGGCCUUGUAGGAUGGUCAAUGAAGCCAUAGAGGUUCUACAUGCCACCCCACAUGACGCCAAGUCUUGCAGCACUAGGCUACAUAUAAACUGCGCCAAAAUUUCAUGGCUCUAUGUUUAAGGUAUGUUUCAGAGAAGUUUUAUCAGGGGGUUAAUUUAUAAUAAAACUAGUAAUAUGCCCGUACUAACAUUACGGGGGAACUUAUAAUGUAAAUAAAAGAGUGAAAUAAAUGGUCGGUCUCUAAACUUGUGUGCUGGUGUCACUUAGAUCAGUGAACUUGAAAAUUGCACGUUUAGAUAUGUGAACUUGGUUUAAUGUAUCACCCCUAGUCCAAUCGUCCUUUGAUUGCAUUCGGCCGCUAAUGUGGCACACCACACAGAUAACCCUUUUGCGUCUCAGCCCCCUCCACAUAUACCUUCUCAAGCCUGGCCGUUAGGGUUUCGACGGUGGAGUUAGUGGCAGGAGGCGGUGAGGUAGCGGUUGUGGCGGCCUUGGCGGCGAGAUUAGUGGCAAGAGACGGUGCCGUGUGGCGAGGUUAGCGGUGGCGUGACGUGUAGAGGGGACCAAGGGCAAAAGUGUUACUUGCGUGACGUGUCACGUUGACGGUCAAACGUGGUCAAAAGGCAAUUGAAAGGGAUGGUACAUUAAACCAAGUUCAUGAAUCUUGACAUGUAAUUUUUAAGUUUAGGGAUCUAAGUAACACCGCCCUACAAGUUUAAGAACUGGACAUAUAUUUUACUCUAAAUAAAAUAACUAAAAGAUGAUAAUUUAAAGUUCACGUAAGAAAGAAACUUUCUAGAUCUUUGAGCAAAGCUAUACGUCCAUUAAGGAACGUUAUGAGAUGAGAUCUACAUAAUGGUUGUGCUUUUCAUGAUGUAACAUUUUCUCGGAUUCAGUCAACUUUGUUGCACGGUGUAAAGCAUCAACCAGAUCAACACUCCAAGAAUUUACCCUGAAAGAACCACUAAAAGACGGGAAACUCAUACAUAAUUAGUGGGCUUGUGAUGGCAGUUUGUGUCACUCCUCUGGCAUUAUCCAACUCAUCAUUUUUUAUAUGGUAUCACAUUCAUAACAUCCCUCGCAACAUUUACAAUAACAAUCAGAUACAUAAUAAAAUGCAGUAUUUUCAUUAAAACAAUAUAUGAUGGUCAAUAAGGACGAGGCUUGUAAUCUACUUUCAUUGCUUCCUCUUGACUUCCACUGUGUUUCUUUCUGGAUUGACAAUUUGUACAAGGACAACCUCUGAUAUUUGGAUUCCUAUCUGAGAAGUAUCUCCAACCUAAGCAGUUCAAAACCAAAACAUGCAUAGUGCUUGGACUUGAUUAAGGUAACAAAUCUGAUAUGAUCCUGUUCGACAGGGCAUUCAUCAUUUGAUCCUGUACACUUACAAUAUCAUGUCAAUAGAUAUUUCUAAAAUGACCAGCAGACAAUUGCAAGCUUAUAAGCUUGAACAAAAUUUUUAUAACUUCCAUAACCAAUAAAUAGAUUACCAGGGGUUUUUCAUCAGCAAGCGAUACAAUCUUUGGAUGUUAACCAGAAACCAGUCCAUUAUCCAAAGUCUAACCUUUAUUUUUUAUGCAACAUAACAAAAAGAGUAUAAGAUAUUAGUCCUUGUACAAUCAUCAUAUUUAAUAAAAAAAAGUGUCCCCCUUUCCAUACCAAUGAGGUUCUUGUUAGAGCAAAUAUCUGAAAUUUAGAGCUAACACAUGUCAAUUCAGAAAUGUGCAAAAUACUAACCGCUUGUUUUCCAGUAACUGAAAAAACAUCCAGAAUAAUCCUGAUUCACCUUGCUAUGAAGAUUUUUCUUGCAAAAGAUAGAUAAUAAUUUCAUGAGAAACAAAUUUCCCCUGGUUAACAGUUUCAGGUUUCAACGAGCUGCAAAAAGAAGGGGAUCCAAAAUCUGUUAUUAUAGUAAAAUUUGCACACCUAUUAAUACAAGUGUUAUUCAAAACUCAAUUGAAGUGUGAUGGAUUGGGGAUAUAACCUCAGGAGUUACGUGUGAUUCAAAAGUCAAUUUAAGAUUUACUUCCAGGCCUCGAAUAUAAUAUUCAGACCUCAAUUUCAGUCACACUUCCAGUCUUCAAAUUCAUUUUUUUAUUAUGGUGUAACAUAUAUGCUAGGAGUAAAAUCUGUCACGGUUAAAUGCAUGGUAAUGGUAAGGUAAAGUGACAAUGUAUAUCAGUCAUAUAGCACUUCUGGAAGCAUAUACCAUUAAGUAAGAAGAAUAGAAUGACCUAACUUCUCAUAUAGUCAUAUGAUCGCUUUCCCGUAUGGCACUCCUUAAGAAUACUAACCAGAUAUUGUUGAUAUUGCGAUUAACCUUACAACCAAUUGAGUUACUUAGAAAUCUGUCCAGACCAGUCUAAUGGAAAAUAUAAUGCACUAAAUAGAGCAUGGGAAUUGGGAAAGUGUCAAGUAUGGCAAUAUGUUCAGAUUAACCAAAUGGGAAACAACAAGGGGUCUGAAGAACGGAAGCAGGUGGUUGGUGCGACAAUGGGUAGGUUCUGCUCCUGCUAGAUGAUGGUGAUGGAUACACAAAAUAAAUGUGGAAAAGUUAGAGUGCAAAUCAUUCAUGAUUAAAAUCAAAAUCAGUAUCUUGAAAAUUCACUUAGAAAAAAUCCAGAACUGAUAUCGCCAAAUUCAGAAAAAUUCAGAACUUGAAAGAACAGGGAUGCCCUGAUUUGGUGUAAAUACGGUCAAAUUGUUGCUUGCACAAAUUUAUUGACUGCAAUUAAUAUAUAAGAGAUCAUUAUACUGAUAAUGACCUAGCUCGUCGGGUCUUGUAUCCACCCCUGGUUCAUAGCGUCGCACCAAAGUAUUUGUCGUCAGGCGACCUUGUAGGAUGGUCAAUGGAGCCAUAGAGGUUCUACAUGCCACCCCACAUGACGCCAAGUCUUGCAGCACCAGGCUACAUAUAAACUGCGCCAAAAUUUCAUGGCUCUAUGCUUAAGGAAUGUUUCAGAAAAGUUUUAUCAGGGGGUUAAUUUAUAAUAAAAUAUGUAAAAAUU